rnacentral:rRNA from 1 species
UACAGAGGGUGCAAGCGUUAAUCGGAUUUACUGGGCGUAAAGCGUGAGUAGGUGGCUUUGUAAGUCGGUUGUGAAAUCCCUGGGCUUAACCUGGGAAUUGCAUCCGAUACUGCAGAGCUCGAGUUCGGUAGAGGACGGCGGAAUUCCCGGUGUAGCGGUGAAAUGCGUAGAUAUCGGGAGGAACAUCGAUGGCGAAGGCAACCGUCUGGGCCUGAACUGACACUGAGACACGAAAGCGUGGGUAGCAAACAGGAUUAGAAACCCCCGUAGUCC